AGGGGUUCAUCGCGAUGACCCCGUGAGGCGUCAGCCCAACGAUCGC
rnacentral:ncRNA from 1 species